CAUUUGACUAAUCUUGCAUGAUAUUUUCAUACUCCACGCCCAUUUGUUCUAAGGAAAAACUCGUUUUCCUGAGCCAACAGGGACACUCAAAAGAGGGGAUCUGGACAGCAAACCCCCCUCAGAAGUGAAUCUAAGCAGAGGAGGCCCUUGGCAUCCAUGUGCCCUGAAGAUGCCCUGAGCCGUACUUCAUGUGGACUCGAGGUGCCCAUGGGGACCAGAAGAGAGUGAUCAGUCUUCUGGAGCUGGAGGUACAGCGAUCAUUGAAAGAAUGGUUCCCAUGUAUGGUACCCAAUAAAGCAUUGGACACACAGAAAGAAGUCAAGGAUGAAUGUAUCCUUUAGGAGUCUGAUAUUAUUCUCCAGAGAACUUGGACUCCAAACUUUUAGGUAAAGUCUCCAAGGAAACUCUUGGGCUCUCUGAUUUCUGGUCACAGUGUUCUGUAAAACAUAAAAGCAUUUAUGAUACAAAGUAAAUUAUAUCAACUGGGAUACCACUGUUCAUCAGCCAAAGUAGUAAAAUUCAAAAUCAAAAUUAUGAACAUAAGACACACAGAAGUUAACACUUUCAUUUGUCUUUUGAGAUACAGUAUUUAUUAAAAUGUCUAAAGGAAUUUUUAGUUGAACUGCCUUCCUUUAAUUUCUCACUUAGGCACAUUAACAUAAAUGCAUAAACACCCAAGCAUCACAGUGUAGGAAGAGUGGAGAAAGAAAUGUUUUUUGUGUGACAUUUUUAUAAUAAAGGUCUAAAGACACCACACAAUGAGAUUAAUUAAAUAAAUUUUAGAUUGUACAGAUGGAAUAACUCUGUGCAACUAAAGGAAGAGUGAAGUAGGUUUCUUUUAAUUUUAGUAUGACCAAAGUAUCAUUGAGAAUGAUUUCAAUAACCAUAGAAUAGUUUGUAGACUCUAAUACCAAUAAGGUGGAUUUAUUUUAAGAUUUGUAUAUUUUACAUGUGUGGGUAGUUUUGCUUGCACAUGCAUCUAUGUACCACAUCUGUACAGUGUCUAAGGAAGCUAGAAUAGAAUGCCCAAACCUUUGUAACUGGAAUUGCAGACAGUAGUUAGCUGUCAUGUAGGUUCUGGGAAUCGAACCCUGUUCCUUUUGCAAGGCUAACAAGUGUUCUUACCCACUGAGAGGUCUCUCUAGCCCCUGGCAAUAGAUGUUUAGGAAUAAUAACCAAAUAUAACUGACUUGUAAACACAUCUGUUGCUAUUCCUGGGUCCAGUAUAACCAUCAAAAAUUUGUGGAAGAGCAUGAAGCAGGGUCAUCUGAAAUCUUCAUAAUCAAGAGAACUGGACCUCACCUCUCUCCCUUCAACUAGGAACAAGUGUUCAUUCAACUUGCAACAGUUUUAUUCUAGGUACACAAGGGCAGAGGCAGUCUUUUUAUUCCUAAAAGGAAAAUUUGGCCCAACAACUGUCACCAUGAAGAAGAUUCUUCCACUAAAACCUCUUUUCUUGGACCUUGUGGAAACCACUUAAAAUGGAUUGUUUUUUUGUUUGUUUGUUUUAGUUUUGUUUGUUUGCUUGCUUGCUUUUAAGUUCUCAAAAGCCUUUAUGAAAAAAAAAUAGGAACCACCUAUCUGACAUAAUGAUUCCCUCUUUCUUCUUCCCACCUCCUGACAUCUCCAAAGUCCAUAAACACUGAGAUCUUGGCUGUGGUUCAAUAAUACAUGACUCUUGCAGUUCAUGGGUUGCCUCUCAGAGGGCAGCUCUCAAUCAUGCGGGCUUCCAGUGUGCCCUCAUCAUCAUACUCAAGAUCCCAGAAUGAUGUAACAGCUUCGUCCGUGAUAACUUUGGGCUUUUGUCAGAAAAACAAACAAACAGAACAAAGUUAGGCAUAGCCCAUACAGCUCUAUUACCUCCACUCAAGAGAGGUAGAUAUCACUGCUGUUCAGAUUUCAUUGGCCAGAGCAAAUGCCAUGACUACGCUGGAGUGGAAGAGGAGGACUGGUGAGUUGUUAAAACAACAAUACAGAGAAUGAAAUGAAGAGUCAUGGUUAUCCGCACCAAGUGCACAAUUAAGGUCUAACUUGUGGUGGGCCUAGGAGAAUGCACAAAACAGCCAGCAAAGGGCCUAGGCUCAUUCUCCUUAUCGGUCCUCUGUGCUGAAUGCCCUUAUGGAAACUUCUUCUGGGAUAUUGGAAAAGAGUGAACACUAUUCUAAAUAAGCAAUGCAAUUAAAAUCAAGAGCCCAAAAAAAAAACAAAACAAAACAAAACUGUGUUUGCAAUCUCGUUUUACUCUCCGGACUAAUGCUGUCCAAAAGUUCAGUAGCCAUAUUGGAACACAGAACAAAGAAAUGGGUGCAUUAAUCUUAAUAGGUUUUGUUUAGCUUGAUGCAUCCAAGAUGGUAUUUUACCAAGUGAUCAAUAUGAAAUUGUUGUUGAAAUGUAUUAAAAUUCUUGCCAAGUCCUAGAAAUCUGACUUCCAUCUUAUCCUUACAACAACCUAAAUUCAGAUGCUAAAUUUUCCUCAGAAAUAAUUGAUCUGUAUUUAGAUUUACAGCUUAAAAAGUAGGUUAACACAUCCAAACUGCACUAACUGCACACACGAUUUUCCAGGAAAUGAAUCAACUAUCCAUUUUUAAAUUUGAAUUAACGUAGAUAAAAUACAGUUGAAGAUUCAUUUUUCAUUUACUCUCAUCACAUUCCCAGGUCUCAAUCGCCACGGUCAUGAGCGCCUGCCAUGUGGCUCUACCAGAUUGCACAGUGCAGGCUUAGACCUUGGGGAUUUCAGUCUCCACCCUGAAAAUCAUCUUUUCAAUGUAGAUCACAAAAUGAUCGAGUCAGUUGAUCUCUUUGUUAUUCAGAGGUUUUGUUGUUGCUGCUGCUGUUUUGUUUUGUUUUUAUAGGUGCAAAGCCAGAGCUACAGAGUGUGCAACAAUCUCCUUUUCACACUAUGGACCGGUUUGUUUCUGAGUUGGUUUCUAUAACAAUGUGCCUUAGAGAUCUCUGUGUCUGUCCCAAAAACUAGAAAGGCAUUCUUCUCUGCCAAAGGAUCCUGUGCCAACAAGAAAAAGAUGGAAAUGGAACAACGGAUACAGAAGGGCAAUCAGGGAUGAAUAGCCCUCCAUUCCUCUAACACAGGAGUAGAGGGAGAUGAGCUUCAACAGAGGUCUUGAAGCAAGCCCACGAGUGAGCAUUUCUGACUGACUAUGCUCCAGCUUGCCAGCAAAUAUGGGACACAGCAAGGAACAUGAAAGAAAGCAGUCUAAAACCACAGCGAAAGCACUGGCUACCGUUUCCUCUGCCCUUUGCUGAUCCUCUCUGCAUCUAACCAGCCCUGGCGAUUCCCUUGUGGCCCCACAAUUGUAAGAGCUUUUCAUCACUCCCCCAAAGUCAGAGCCCUACUGUGUGUGAUUUGCUUCUGCAACACCCCUGCAACAGUCACAUUGGAAGUUGCCAUCUGCACAGGAGAAGUGUCUGACUACCUCAUGGAGCCUCAUGCAGGAUCUCACAUGCACACGCAAGUCAGUUCAGAUGCAUGGAGUACCAGCACUUGGCACACCUUGGUUUUCCCCUGAGUCUCAGACUCCCUCAGAGGAUUUGCUGAAGCUAAAGCCUGUGGAACAAUUGUUAUGACUUUUCUCAUCACCAACAGAAGAGGACCUCACACAAACCACAAUGGCAGUACUGGUCAAACAAACGUUCUUAGCUACGUAUUGUUGGGUAUACACCAAGUGCUAUGUGGAUAAAAAGAUUGUCAUCCCACAGCAUUAUCAAGUUUUAAGCCAAAACCCCAAGCCCAGCUUGGAUACUUCCCUCAGAAUCCUGUGGGUGAGUGGUCCUGUGAGUGAAAGCAAUCAAAGUCAUGUGGUCACCCAUGGAAGAAGAGAGAUCUUCGAGAAGCCAAUGAGAACCUUGUGGUGGGACAAAGAAAGGAAUGAAGGCAACAGUGAUGUCUGCAUGGGGCGGGCACGACCCUCAGUCACAAGUGGUCUGGAGGUUUGUUAUCUCAGAAUGUGGAUGGUCAGGAAGGCUUUAACCCAGACUGAAAACAAACAAGUAGCUCCUGCCUUGGGGACUGGCUACUCUUGUGACAAGAUGCUUUUGGAACAGACUGUCAUUCCCUGGAUCCAAGAUGAAUGGCUAAAGGAAGGGAGAACUCAAAGUUUCAAGCCAGAUGGGGGUCCCAGAGGCAUGCCAGCACUUAGAGGGGGACGUGGACAUGGGUUCCCACCCUGGAACCAAGGAGCUUAUGUAUAAUUGAUACCCCCUGGUAUGGAAAACCUUAGAAUUUUCCAACAGAGUCUCACUAGGUAUAUUAACUACAUCUCAGGGCAGGGUGCAUGUCUGGGUGUAGUUGGCCAAUACAAAAUGAACUCAUUAUUUUUGUAGACUCUUGGUCUCAUUUUGACUCUUUUGAACAUUUUUUUCUCUUACUGGUCAUUUGCUUUGCGUUUGGCUUCUGUUUUUAUUGUCUUAUUUUGUGUGUGUGUGUUUUGAAUUUUUGUGUGGUUUUGUUUUUGUUUGUUUUUUAAAGGGAUAGAGGGGGAAAGAACAUAAAGUUGGCCAGGUGGGGAAGA